rnacentral:rRNA from 1 species
AACGACGCUGGCGGCAGGCUUAACACAUGCAAGUCGAGCGCCCCGCAAGGGGAGCGGCAGACGGGUGAGUAACACGUGGGAACCUACCCUUUUCUACGGAAUAACGCUAUGGAAACGUGUGCUAAUACCGUAUACGCCCUUCGGGGGAAAGAGUUUAUCGGAGAAGGAUGGGCCCGCGUUGGAUUAGCUAGUUGGUGGGUAAAGGCCUACCAAGGCGACGAUCCAUAGCUGGUCUGAGAGGAUGAUCAGCCACAUUGGGACUGAGACACGGCCCAAACUCCUACGGGAGGCAGCAGUGGGGAAUAUUGGACAAUGGGCGCAAGCCUGAUCCAGCCAUGCCGCGUGAGUGAUGAAGGCCUUAGGGUUGUAAAGCUCUUUCACCGGAGAAGAUAAUGACGGUAUCCGGAGAAGAAGCCCCGGCUAACUUCGUG